rnacentral:lncRNA from 1 species
AACACCAUCCCAAAAACCUUGCACUGCCUGGCUGGGGGAUCAAUGUGUUUCCGGCACAUUUUAAACUCUGCUUCAGAAAAGUGUUCUGUGUCAAACGUCUGCUGUUGGACAUUCCAGAGCUUACGAGCCUUUAUGACUCAUCGUGAAAGAGACAGUGCUUUGCUUCUAUAAAGCGGAGUAGUCAAAUUUGGUGGUGUACUCCUCGAUGAGAAAUUCAAGGUCACCCUCAUCUGUACAGGGGACUUUAAGGCUAGCUAGUUCUCAAAAACAAAAGGAGGAAGAGGCAGAAGCAGAAGCUGCAGACAAUGAUAAAGAAGAAAAAGAAGAAAAGGAGUAAUUUCAAGGAAAGGUUUCUGUGCAUCUAAAAUCAGACCAAAGUAAGACCGCUGUGGAUGGUGGGAGCUCCCAGGCUUGGGGCGUGCGGGAACUCAAACAGGUAAGUCGAUCCUUUGUACGGGACCCAGUGCACUGUGUGUCUCAUACCCCCACUGAUUCCAGUUUGUACGGCCCAAAUACUCAUGGACAUGGGGCCAUUCUCUGGAGCAUAGCUGACCUACCAGUGGCCACACCCUUAAGGAAAACUGAGUCUCCUUCUACCAGAAGCCAUCGACUCUCAGAAGUGCCUCAGCUGGGGUGAACUCUUGUGAUCCCCUCCACCCACCAUGAUGAAUAUUGGCUGACUUGGUCUUGGGCAGGUCUUGUAUAGGCACCCACAUCAGCUGUGAGCUCAUGAGUGCUGAGAUCCUGAUCUGUCCAGAUGACAGUGUUUUUGUCAAGUCCUCCAUGACCUCUGUCAGGCUCUUACAGCCUUUCUGCCUCUUUUCCUUGAUUGUCCAUGAACCUUGGGGGAACCAACUAUGAUACAGAUCUUCCUCUUGUGGUUGUCAUUUCACCCUUUGAAUCAUCUGAGAGAUACCUUCUUGUGCUAUCCCCUGGGAUAACAAUAUCAGGCCCAAGAACUGGCUAUCUUUUCCUGGUUUUGCCUUGAUUUUUAUUGUAAGUACAGCAGGGUGAUUUGGUAACAGAAAAGAGGAGACAGAAAAGUGUCGGCAGUGGACAUAGUAGCAGCAAAACCUGGGAGGUGAUGGUGGGACCUCUGUCAGAAGUGGCAAUGCAGCAAACAGACUUCUUUGUGACAGAGAGAGAGUAGCUGGAGUCAGAGACAGUGGAAGUAGAGGCAGCACAGCCAAUGAAGGAUGAUGAACCUAUUGAAGCCACCAAAGCAGGGACUUGGGGCUAGAGGAGUUCUAGGCAG